GGGCCCGUGGCCUAGCCAGGAUAGGGCGCCGGCCUGCGGAGCCGGCGAUCCGGGGUUCAAGUCCCCGCGGGCCCGCCA
rnacentral:tRNA from 1 species